rnacentral:SRP_RNA from 1 species
UUCUCAGACCUGUGCAACGGUCUUGAGAGACAAUGGGUCAGGAUGGGAACAUAGCAGCCCACCUCCCCUGAUCGGGUGCCGCAGCCAUCUGGGGAGAG